rnacentral:lncRNA from 1 species
CCCCCAGGGCAUAUCUCCCAGUGGCAAAGGGGAGAGCGGAUAGGGCUCAGCGCGGCAGUGUGCAGAGUUCGAUUCCCCGCAAGGUGGAAUUGGCUUUGUUGCAAGCGGGAGUUACCAUAUGGGUUAACAGCCUUGGCCUAUCCAUAUGCUCUCCACCCUGGCUCCUGGGAGGCACAUCCUGCGAUUUACCUCCUCCACGAUGGCCCAGGGCAGGGUCGGUGGGGGCCCUUA